rnacentral:rRNA from 1 species
AUAUGUAAUGUGADUUGCAGAUCUACAGUGAAUCAUCGAAUCUUUGAACGCACCUUGCGCUCCUCGGUGUUCCGAGGAGCAUGCCUGUUUGAGCGUCAGUA